AAUGCAGUGCCCGAACAGGGCGUUGUAAUUGGAAUGAGAACAAUUUAAAUCCCUUAUCGAUUAACAAUUAGAGGGCAAGUCUGGUGCCAGCAGCCGCGGUAAUUCCAGCUCUAAUAGCGUAUAUUAAAGUUGUUGCAGUUAAAAAGCUCGUAGUUGGAUUUCGGCGUGCGCUCAGGCUGGUCGGCCGUCAAGGUCUGUACCGUUUGGGUCACGCCCCACUGUAGGAUACUCACCGCUGUCCUUAACUGGGUGGCGGUCAAAGGGGGUGUGCAUGGGGGCAACUCUGUGCAUAUCUCUGGGGUUCCUACUCUUUUACUUUGAGCAAGUUAGAGUGUUCAAAGCAGGCAAUCGAGCCUUGAAUACUUCAGCAUGGGAUAAUGGAACAGGACUGGGGUCCUGAUUUCGUUGGUUUCUGGGAUCUCAGUAAUGAUUAAUAGGGAUAGUUGGGGGCAUUAGUAUUUAAUUGUCAGAGGUGAAAUUCUUGGAUUUAUGAAAGACUAACUUCUGCGAAAGCAUUUGCCAAGGAUGUUUUCAUUAAUCAAGAACGAAAGUUAGGGGAUCGAAGACGAUCAGAUACCGUCGUAGUCUUAACCAUAAACGAUGCCGACCAGCGAUUGGGAGACGUUACAUGGAUGACUCCCCCAGCAGCUUGCGAGAAAUCACAAGUCUUUGGGUUCCGGGGGGAGUAUGGUCGCAAGGCUGAAACUUAAAGGAAUUGACGGAAGGGCACCACCAGGAGUGGAGCCUGCGGCUUAAUUUGACUCAACACGGGGAAACUUACCAGGUCCAGACAUAGUAAGGAUUGACAGAUUUGAGAGCUCUUUCUUGAUUCUAUGGGUGGUGGUGCAUGGCCGUUCUUAGUUGGUGGAGUGAUUUGUCUGGUUAAUUCCGUUGACGAAUGAGACCUUAACCUGCUAAAUAUGUCACUGGUAGACUUCUGCCAAAACAGGUGGGUGUCUAGGGGAAAGUUUCGAUGGACUCCGACGCAUUCAUCUGUGGAUGACUACCAGGAUGUACUUCUUAGAGGGACUAUCUGUAUCAAAGCAGAUGGAAGUUUGAGGCAAUAACAGGUCUGUGAUGCCCUUAGAUGUUCUGGGCCGCACGCGCGCUACACUGACAAGUUCAACGAGUUUAACACCUUGCUCGAUAGGGCUGGGUAAUCUUUGAAAAACUUGUCGUGAUGGGGAUAGAUCAUUGUAAUUAUUGGUCUUCAACGAGGAAUUCCUAGUAAGCGUGAGUCAUCAGCUCGCGUUGAUUACGUCCCUGCCCUUUGUACACACCGCCCGUCGCUCCUACCGAUUGAAUGAUCCGGUGAAAUGUUGGGAGCUGGGGUCUUUUGGCGGCGGGGCAACUCGUCGUCAGGGAUUCUGCAAACAUCAUUAAACCUUAUCAUUUAGA
rnacentral:rRNA from 1 species